AUUCGAUCAUGGCUCAGAUUGAACGCUGGCGGGAUGCUUUAUGCAAGUCGAACGGCAGCACGGACUUCGGUCUGGUGGCGAUGGCGAACGGGUAGUAAUGUAUCGGAACGAUUGCCUGAAAUGGCGGGGAUAACACGCGGCGUAGCUAAUACCCGCAUACAUGUCGGGGAAAGCGGGGGACCUUCGGGCCUCGCACUGUUAGAGCGGCCGAUAUCGGAUUAGCUGGUUGGUGGGAGGUAACGGCUCGCAAGGCGACGAUCCGUAGCUGGUUUAAGAGGACGACCAGCCACACUGGGACUGAGACACGGCCCAGACUCCUACCGGGAGGCAGCGGUGGGGAAUUUUGGACAAUGGGGAAACCUGAUCAGCCAUCCCGCGUGCGAUGAAGGCCUUCAGGUUGUAAAGCACUUUGGCAGGAAAGAAACGGCACAGUAAUACCCCGUGCAACUGACUGAACCUGCAGAAUAAGCACCGGCUAACUACAUUGCCAGCAUGCUUUUGAUAAUGCGUAGGGUGCAAGCGUUAAUCAGAUUACUGGGCGUAAAGCGUGCGCAGGCGGUUCGGAAGAAAGAUGUGAAAUCCCAGAGCUUAACGCGGAACUGCAUUUUUAACUACCGAGCUAGAAGGUGGUAAUCAGAGGGAGGUG
rnacentral:misc_RNA from 1 species